rnacentral:rRNA from 1 species
UACAUGGGGUGCAAACGUUGCUCGGAAUUAUUGGGCGUAAAGCGCACGUAGGCGGUUUGUUAAGUCGGAUGUGAAAUCCCUCGGCUCAACUGAGGAAGUGCAUCCGAAACUGGCAGGCUUGAGUACUAAAGAGGGUCGCGGAAUUCCCGGUGUAGAGGUGAAAUUCGUAGAUAUCGGGAGGAAUACCUGAGGCGAAGGCGGGCUACUGGGCCGAUACUGACGCUGAUGUGCGAAAGCCAGGGGAGCGAACGGG